UACGGAGGAUCCAAGCGUUGUCCGGAUUUAUUGGGUUUAAAGGGUGCGUAGGCGGAUAAUUAAGUCAGUGGUGAAAAUCUUGCGGCUCAACCGUAAAAAUUGCCAUUGAAACUGAUUAUCUUGAGUACAGUUGAGGUGGGCGGAAUGUAUCAUGUAGCGGUGAAAUGCUUAGAUAUGAUACAGAACACCUAUUGCGAAAGCAGCUCACUAAACUGCAACUGACGCUGAGGCACGAAAGCGUGGGGAUCAAACAGG
rnacentral:rRNA from 1 species